rnacentral:lncRNA from 1 species
AUGUUGGAGCAUAUGAGCUUGCUGCCCAUACGAAUAGAUUACAAGGGACAAAAGCUAGUUGAACAAAUGUUUCAGAGAAUUAUUAUUUUUUCUUCAGUCAUUGGAUUUAUCUACGGUUAUGUGGCUGAACAUUGCAGAUGAACUGUCUAUAUAGUUAUAGCUGGAUUUGCUUUUUCACAUUUGCUGACACUUCACCCGUGGCCCAUCCAUCAGUGGCAUCCCCUCAAGAGGUUACUUGUCCAAGACUCAUCACAGACAACCAACAAGAAGCUGGGGAUAGAAAAAUUAAGAGGCAUGCUAAAAAU